UACGUAGGGUGCAAGCGUUGUCCGGAAUUAUUGGGCGUAAAGAGCUCGUAGGCGGUUUGUCGCGUCUGCUGUGAAAACGCGAGGCUCAACCUCGCGCCUGCAGUGGGUACGGGCAGACUGGAGUGCGGUAGGGGAGAUUGGAAUUCCUGGUGUAGCGGUGAAAUGCGCAGAUAUCAGGAGGAACACCGGUGGCGAAGGCGGAUCUCUGGGCCAUUACUGACGCUGAGGAGCGAAAGCGUGGGGAGCGAACAGG
rnacentral:rRNA from 1 species